ACCAGGUGUAUUCACUGCCAUCCACGGGACAAGCUUGGGUCACCUCACAGUGCCCAGCAGGAGAGGCUCCUGGUGUGCUGGGCGCCCACCACUUCCCGCUGCUGCCUGCCUGUAAUAUCCACUCUGCUAAAGCCUUUCAUCUGCCCCUGAAGGCCCCAGUCCGCGGACUACCCACCCGCUGGGGCCCCAAGCUCUGCAGCAAGCCCAGGACCACUCCUCCCUGCCUGGCCAGCUUCAGAGCCCGGGGCCGCUCCUCCCUGCCUGGUCAGCUUCAGUGCCCCAGGACCACUCCUCCCUGCCUGGCCAGCUUCAGUGCCCCAGGACCACUCCUCCCUGCCUGGUCAGCUUCAGUGCCCCAGGACCACUCCUCCCUGCCUGGUCAGCUUCAGUGCCCCAGGACCACUCCUCCUUGCCUGGUCAGCUUCAGAGCCCGGGGCCACUCCUCCCUGCCUGCCUGGCCAGCUUCAGAGCCCGGGCCCGCUGCUCCCUACCUAGCCUUUGCCCAAACUGUGCUUGGUUCUCUGGCUUCUCUCCUCUGACUGGAGCCCAGUCCCUGAGCUCAGACCCCCGUCCCUGGAACUGGGCCACACAACAUGCCCUCUUGGCCCAGCCUUCAUCCCAGACAGGCGGCCUGACUUACCUGGAUGAACUUCUCGGGACAGAGGCUCCUCAGGACCUUGGACACCGCCACCUGCUGAGCUUCCUGCCCCAGCUACCUGGUGGGGCCCCCAGGGUGCCCUCGGCAGCUCAGUCCAGCCUGCAUCUGCCGCUCAGCCUUCCGAUGUGGGCAGUGUUUCCCAGCCCCACGGACCAGCCCAUCAUUCAGGGCCAAUAGGAUGGACUCCAGAUGCGGAAUGACACCUCACCAAGUGCUGGCCCCAGGUCCUGCCCACAGAGACGCCUGCAGCAGCGCACAGCUGGCAGGGCCACCUCCACCUCUCUAGCAGCGGGCAGGCUGGUAGAGCAGAUUAGCCCCAAAGCAGGAAAUUCCAGAUGAAAUAUGCAUAAGAAGCAGCCUCAAAACUAACAAAAAGAAAUUGCCUGCUCCUCAGUUCACAGGAGGAGCAGAGAUGAAGAAAAAGAAGAAAAGCGCUCGGAAGAGAGAAAAGGAAGCUCCUUCUGCGCAGCGGGCUCCUGGCCCGGGAAGGGUGGUCUGCAGCAGAGUGCGUGCAGGGAGGCACCCUCUGAAAUGUCUGGAAAUAGCUGCAGGGCUUUCACUUGGCUCCCAAACUUCUUCAGAGGUCCAAAUCAUCACAGUGGCCAACUUGGCAGCAGUGACCUCGGCACUCCGUGUCCUCAGGCUAAAACAAAGCCAUCCUACUUGGGCAGUGAGAACAUGGGGCGGGGGCUCCUGACUCCAGUGAGGCCUCCCUGGAGGGGAGUCCCAGGCAUCAACCUGAUGUUCAGAACCUUCCUGGCAUCUCAGAAAUGUACUGGGGAGACUGAGGAUCCUUGAGCCAAGUGUCCGUGUUCUCAUUGAACAUAAAACCCACAGCCCACAAGCUUCUCAGGAGCAUGGCACAUGCACCCAGCCCCCAGGCUCUGCCUGGGCAGCACCUCCUGGGCCGCCCUUACCAGCAGACACCACCCGCCCAGCCUCACUUGGCCAUCCUGACAGGCACCGUCUACCCAGCCUCGCUCGGCCGCCCUGACCAGUUGGCACCAUCUACCCAGCCUCAUUUGGCCGGCCAGGCUCUGCGGGCCUGAGAAUGCAGAGAACCUCCAAAUGUUGUGACUUUGCUCUGUGCGUCCUUUGUGCAAGCAUUUGUGAGCUAUGCCAGCAUCUGUCCCCAAAGGCCUCAUCCCUGAGCCAAUUCUCAGGAGAGCAGUAAGUGGGUACAGGGAGGGGGGCUCCCAGCCAGCCCCAGGACUGGAGGUCUGGGGACGAUGCCAGCCGCUCUGGCAGAGCCCUCCUCAUCUGGGCCUCUGUUCCUUUUCCACACCAGGAAGCAGAAAGGUCAAUCAGCGACUUAGGCCUGUUGGCUCUGGCGGGGUUCACCUGCGUUUCUGGGGAGCCCUGGGUGUACCUGGGCUCUGUGUCCAGUGAUCUCUCCUAUGGGUCCCCGUUUUGGGCACUGAAAUGUUUCUUUCCUGUGAAUGAGCUGAUGUCAAAACCUGCUAUAGAGGAAGACGGGCCUUGGGGGCAGUGUCUCCAGGGGAGCAGAGCUGAGGCAAUGGCCAGCAGGGUGUCUCCAGGGACUAGGGAAGAUGGGGCGUGCUCCAGAUCAGCCGGCAGGGAGCCCCAGGCCUGCAGAGCCUGGUGUUGGCGCUCUCCUGUUUCCUCCAAAAACCCAGCCAUGCAGGGAGCCCGACCCAAGCAGACGGCCCCCACCUUGGCAGAAUCCCCAGGACUGUGCAUGGCGGUGGGGGUGACUCCACAGUUGGGACCGGGCCUGAUGCUGCUGUCCCUCAGUCACCCCUGCAGUGGGCUCAGGGCAGGGCUCCGGCCUGAUGGGGGAUCCUGGACGCACCUCUGAGCCGGCAGCCCCUACCCCCACCCACACGCCUGCACCUUCACGCCUGUCUCACCCUGGGGCCCAGGUGCAGGUUUGUGGGGAGCACAGCGCAGUGUUCCCAUGACCUCUGCUCAGCCAAGUAGAUUCAGUGAGGGUUUUCCAUUUGUACCUGUCCCCAUGUGCCUGUUUCCUGGUGAGGCUGGACGCCCAGCAUGGCCGAACACUCCCGUUCCCCAGGCACGCAUGUGCAGCGGCCGCCACGCGUGCACUGUGACGCUGACCCCCCGUAACAGCCGCGGUAUUGGCCUUGCACUGGUGGCAGAUGUUGUCCUGUUUCCCACUGUUACUUCUGUUGUCUGAAAGUUUGACCGUCCUGCCAGCCAAAGCUGUUGAGCUUUACUCCGACAGACCAUCUGUCCUUCGUGAGCACCCUGUGCAUUUGGGAAAAGCAUCCACUUGUUUUCAGCCACGUUUCCUGUGACUUGCACUGCGUGUGUCCUCCUCUGUCUUCUGUGGUUCCCAGGCGGGCCCACCUGCCCACUGCUGACGCCUGCCUUCCCUGGUGCUUGCUGGCUUCUGUGUUCUCUGCAGUAAACAUGGAUUUCUGACUCGA